rnacentral:misc_RNA from 1 species
GAUGAAGAACGUAGUGAAAUGCGAUAAGUAGUGUGAAUUGCAGAAUUCCGUGAAUCAUCGAGUCUUUGAACGCACAUUGCGCCUCAUGGCAUUCCGUGAGGCAUGCCCAUCUCAGCGUUAGAAAAUAUUCUCAAAUUUUAGUUUUGUGCUAAAAUUUGGAUCAUGUCAAGGAAGCUAUUACUAUUAUUGUGAUCGCUCUUUGGAAAUUGAUAGGUCUUUGAGUUGCUACUCAUAGAACGUGAUGAAUCUUUCUUCGUUCUAUUGUAAUUCACUCUGGUAGUCCUAAAAGUUGUAUGCCUGUGGCAUAUCUUGUAAUUUGACCUGAGAUUGGGUAGGGAUACCCGCUGAACUUAAGCAUAUCAAUAAGCGGAGGA